GGAGAGGUGUGUGAGUGGUUGAAACAGGCUGUCUUGAAAACAGCUUUCGGUGAAAGCCGAACGGGGGUUCGAAUCCCUCCCUCUCCG
rnacentral:tRNA from 1 species